UACGGAGGGUGCAAGCGUUAUCCGGAUUCACUGGGUUUAAAGGGUGCGUAGGCGGGCAGGUAAGUCAGUGGUGAAAUCCUAGAGCUUAACUCUAGAACUGCCAUUGAUACUAUCUGUCUUGAAUAUUGUGGAGGUAAGCGGAAUAUGUCAUGUAGCGGUGAAAUGCUUAGAUAUGACAUAGAACACCUAUUGCGAAGGCAGCUUACUAGGCAUAUAUUGACGCUGAGGCACGAAAGCGUGGGGAGCAAACAGG
rnacentral:rRNA from 1 species